rnacentral:rRNA from 1 species
GAUGAACGCUGGCGGCGUGCCUAAUACAUGCAAGUCGAGCGAACAGACGAGGAGCUUGCUCCUCUGACGUUAGCGGCGGACGGGUGAGUAACACGUGUAUAACCUACCUAUAAGACUGGGAUAACUUCGGGAAACCGGAGCUAAUACCGGAUAAUAUAUUGAACCGCAUGGUUCAAUAGUGAAAGACGGUUUUGCUGUCACUUAUAGAUGGAUCCGGGCCGCAUGAGCUAGUUGGUAAGGUAACGGGUUACCAAGGCAACGAUGCGUAGCCGACCUGAGAGGGGGAUAGGCCACACUGGAACUGAGACACGGUCCAGACGACUACGGGAGGCAGCAGUAGGGAAUCUUCCGCAAAGGGCGAAAGCUUGACGGAGCAACGCCGCGUGAGUGAUGAAGGUCUUCGGAUCGUAAAACUCUGUUAUUAGGGAAGAACAAAUGUGUAAGUAACUAUGCACGUAUUGACGGUAACUAAUCAGAAAGCCACGGCUAACUACGUG